rnacentral:rRNA from 1 species
UACGUAGGGUGCAAGCGUUGUCCGGAAUUAUUGGGCGUAAAGAGCUCGUAGGCGGUCUGUCACGUCGGCUGUGAAAACUCGGGGCUCAACUCCGAGCCUGCAGUCGAUACGGGCAGACUAGAGUUCGGUAGGGGAGACUGGAAUUCCUGGUGUAGCGGUGAAAUGCGCAGAUAUCAGGAGGAACACCGGAGGCGAAGGCGGGUUACUGGGCUGAUACUGACGCUGAUGCGCGAAAGCCAGGGGAGCAAACGGG